GGGGGUGUAGCUCAAUGGCUAGAGCGUUCCUGUCUUUUGGAAAAGUUGCGGGUUCGAGUCCCGUCACCCUCG
rnacentral:tRNA from 1 species